GAUCAUCUCCUCCCUCCCUUUCCCGUCUCCUCCUCCCUUCCCUCCCCUCCCCUCCGGCCAUCCCCUCCCCAUCUCUUCCUUCUUCCUCCACGGGCCCCCUCCUCUCCUCCUGUCCCGCGUGGCGCAUGGAUCCCGUCCCUGCCUCUCCUCCCGUGCUGCGCGGGAUGCGGACGCGACGGCGCACGGCGUAGCGGCGGCAGCAAGCAGCGGCGGCGGCGAGCAGCGGCCGGCCGCGUGCGGCGCGUUGCGGAGCGGGAGCUAGGAGCGGCACGCCGUCCCGGUGCAGAGGCACGCCCCUGCCCUGAGCCCCCGAGGAGUUGUCGCACUGAGUCCAGUUAGUAUAUCACAAGAGAGGAAGGGUGGUGCAUGAAAGGGUAUAUAUUUUUUUCUGAGAGAACACAUGUAAAGAAGGUGACAAGCCCCUGCUUGGGUGACAAGCCCACGCUACUAAGCUCGUCAUGUAAGUAUAUAAUUCAGAAGGUGAAGAUUCUAAAAGCCACCAUAAUAUAUUUUUUUGCGCAAAUGUAAUACAGAAAGGGUGUAACUCUGAAAAUUAAAUGUCAGCUUAUUUGCAUGUUGCUCAUGGUAGAGCAGAAAACAUCAGAAAUACAUAUGUAUAUAUUUAAAACAAGUUUUUUUUGGUCUAUGGGCAGUAAUUUUGAAUAUCAUCUACUAAUACUUGAAGAGAUGCUGAGUGUAAAGUAAUAAAGACUACUUGAAGGUGGGUUGAAUCUGACUGACAUCAAUCUUAGGGAUGACCUCAAUGGAAUGCGAUAAAAGUGUCCGGGGAUCACUUAGUGUUUUGUUUUAUUUAUAAUUUUUUACAAAUAAUACGUCUAUCAGUUUAAGCUAGAAUAAUUUACUUUUACUCAUAACUCACAAGGAACUAAUAUAGUAUGUGGAUAGCAUUCUGUUCCUGUGAUCGUACCUUUACAUGGUCUAUUCAUCCAAUCUAUAAAUGUCUCAUGCUAAUGGUGUUUCAUUUACAAUUAACAGGGAUGAUGUGGCUCUGGAUAUCCUCCAACAUGAUCCCUUUGCGGUAAAAUAGUUGCAGCUCUCUCAGACUUGCAUUUUGUUCUUCGGCUAAGGUUGCUGUGCAUGUAUUUCUAUCUUUUUACAAAUGUGAUUAUCUCAUGUCUUGUAGACAUUUUGCAUGCUCUUCUGAAAUUUGAAGUCUUGUAUGUUCUGUCCAAUUUCCAUGUCACAUUGUUAAUUUCUACAAUCAUAUCAAGAGCCCAACCAGAGAGUAAUGGGCAGCUUGUUAUUAAGUUUGCUACAGAGAGACGCUCAAAACUAGGCUUGAUGUAUGAACUCUUUGUUUUAAUUUUAAUGUAUGAACUCUUUCAUUUAAUCUCGAUGUAUGAGCUCAUGUGAUUGAAUUUUGCUGCUAUAAUCAUAUAUUAUAUAUGAUGUACAAAUGGUGCAA